rnacentral:rRNA from 1 species
CGUAGGGUGCAAGUGUUAAUCGGAAUUACUGGGCGUAAAGCGUGCGCAGGCGGUUUUGUAAGUCUGAUGUGAAAUCCCCGGGCUCAACCUGGGAAUUGCAUUGGAGACUGCAAGGCUAGAAUCUGGCAGAGGGGGGUAGAAUUCCACGUGUAGCAGUGAAAUGCGUAGAUAUGUGGAGGAACACCGAUGGCGAAGGCAGCCCCCUGGGUCAAGAUUGACGCUCAUGCACGAAAGCGUGGGGAGCAAACAGGAUUAGAUACCCUGGUAGUCCACGCCCUAAACGAUGUCUACUAGUUGUCGGGUCUUAAUUGACUUGGUAACGCAGCUAACGCGUGAAGUAGACCGCCUGGGGAGUACGGUCGCAAGAUUA